AUUUCAAGCCUGAGUUGUUUAUGGGAAAGGCUUGCACGGAGCUUAAUAGCCAUUGAAGAUCUGGGAAUUGCUGAAUGUGAUGAACUGGCAUGUUUGAGGAAGCCUGGAUUUGAAUUGAAAACCUUGGUGGUGUGCGACAUUCAUGGAUCAAAGGGUGUCAUGGGGUUGUAUCCUUGGAAGAGCAGGGGCUGCCUUGCAAUCUUCAAUACUGGGAAGUGAAUGGAUGUUACAACUUAGAGAAGCUGCCUAACGCAUUACACACCCUCACAUCUCUUACAGAUUUGCUAAUUCAUAAUUGCCCAAAACUCCUAUCAUUCCCAGAGACAGGUUUGCCGCCUAUGCUAAGACGUCUUGGGGUGAGAAAUUGCAGGGUUCUGGAGACACUGCCUGAUGGAAUGAUGAUGAACAGUUGUAUACUUGAGUGAGUGGAAAUUAAAGAGUGUCCAUCUUUUAUUGAAUUUCCAAAAGGUGAGCUACCCGUCACCCUCAAGAAGUUGACGAUUGAAAAUUGUUGGAAACUAGAGUCUCCACUUGAGGGAAUUGACAGUAACAACACUUGUCGACUUGAAUGGCUACAUGUAUGGGGAUGUCCAUCUCUCAAGUCCAUUCCAAGAGGCUGCUUUCCCUCCACACUUGAGAUACUUUCCAUUUGGGACUGCGAGCAAUUGGAGUCGAUUCCAGGGAAUCUGCUGCAAAAUCUCACUUCUCUUCAACUUCUGAACAUAUGUAAUUGUCCAGAUGUGUCCUCUCCAAAAGCGUUUUUGAACCCCAACCUUAAACAACUUUCUAUUUCAGAUUGUGAGAAUAUGAGGUGGCCUCCAUCUGGGUGGGGCCUCAACAUACUCACCUCUCUUGGUGAACUAUUUAUUCAAGGCCCCUUCCGAGAUCUGCUUUCUUUUUCUGGCUCUCACCUUCUUCUUCCUACAUCUCUCACCACUCUCCGGUUGGGAAAUCUCCGCAAUUUGAAAUCCAUAGCCUCCACGAGUCUACAAAGCCUCAUCUCUCUUAAAACCCUUGAAUUCCACAUUUGCCCUAAGCUCUGGUCCUUUGUGCCAAAUGAAGGGCUGCCAGCAACACUUGCAAGACUUGUAAUAAGGGAAUGUCCCGUUCUAAAAGAGAGGUGCCUCAAGGACAAAGGAAAAGAUUGGCCUAAGAUUGCCCACAUCCCCUACGUGCAAAUAGAUGGCAUUGUAGAACAAUUAAAAAGCUACAAUUUCCUCUUUGGAGAAUUCAAAGGAUCUGUCAACUAUUAGCUUGAUAGAAUUAUUACAUUCCUUGGAGGCUGCGGAACAAAGAAGACUCAUGAGACAAGGAGAUAUUGUAUAAGGAGCAUUUCAAGCAAGAAUGCAGAAAAAUGCAUGCCAUAAAAAUGGCAAGAUGAACAACAACAAGCCAAGCAACAACAACCAAAAAAUGGAGUUUUUCUACCUUGUCCUCAUUGCAAGAAGACAAAUCAUUCUCCACAAAAAUGUUAGUGGAGACCAGAUGUGAAAUGCAACAAGUGUGGUAAACAAGGCCAUGUGGAGAGGAUUUGCAAAAAUCAACAGUAGAAAGAAACUUGUGCAACAGUUGACUAUUGUUAGGAGGAGCAAUUAUUUGCAGUAACAUGUUUUGCUAAUAAAAGUACCUCUAAAAGCUGGACUGUGGAUAGUGGUUAUGCAAACCACAUGACAAAUAAUCAAGAUCUCUUUAGAGAACUUGAUAACACAACUAUUUCCAAAGUCAGAAUUGGAAAUGGUGAGUAUAUUCCAAUGAUGGGCAAAGGAACGGUUGCUAUCGAAAGCCAAACAGGUUUGAAACUCAUUUUUGAUGUUUUGUUUGUGUCUGACAUUGACCAAAACUUACUCAAUGUUGGACAGCUCGUUGAGAAAGGAUUUAAAGUUUAUUUUGAAGAUAGGAAUUGCAUUAUCAAGGAUGCUAAAGGCAAAGAGGUGUUUAACAUAAAAAUGAAGGGCAAGAGUUUUGCCUUGAAUUUACUGGAAGAUGAGCAUGUUGUUGUUUUAAAACAAGAUAGCACAACAAUGUUUUGGCAUAGAAGGCUCGGGCACUUUCAUCAUGAUGUUGUGCUCUACAUGAAGAAAAAUCAAAUAGUUGAAGGACUUCCUGACUUAGAAAAAGAUCUUCUUAUAAGUGUUACUUGUCAAUAUGGGAAGCAAACUAAACUUUCCUCUCCAAGAAAAACAUCCUGGAGAGCAACCCAAAAAUUGCAACUGGUGCAUACUGAUGUUGGUGGAUCUCAAAAGACGCCAUCCUUGAAAGGGAAUGCAGGCAUCAUUCACCAGCUCACUGCGCCAUAUAAUCCAUAACAAAAUGGAGUAGUGGAGAGGAAAAAUAGAAUGAUUUUGGAGAUGACAAGAUGCCUUCUGCAUGAAAAAAAUCUACCUAAAAAAUUUUAGGCUGAAACUGCAAGUACAACAGUAUAUUUGCUGAACAAAUUGCCAACAAAAGCAUGAGAGAAGCAAACCCCUUUCGAAGUUUGGUUUGAGUUUCUAUGUGCAAGACUUGGAGUUUGCAUCUACAAAGUUGAGGAGUGUUGAAUUUUGACUUAGUAUCUGCUGGAAUUUGAAUUUUGAAGUUAAAUAUUGCAGUUGGAGUCUUGCACAAAAUCUGCAACAUCCAAAUAUUUUCUUGUUUUUAUUUGGUCAAGAUUGGGUUUCUAUUUUAAUGGAAGUAGUUGUUCAUCAUCUAGUAGCUUGAUUUUCUGUUAUUCUAAUGUCAUUUCAGUUACAAGCUCAUGUAUAAAUUCAGCACUUUUCAUCAAUAAAAUGUGUUCCAGCAACCCAAAAUAUAUAUUUUGCAUAAGUGUUUAAAUCUUAGACCAAUAAAAAGACUUUAAUCAAGUCCAGCUCACAUUGAGAAGAUUUUGGUUGGAAAAAGGUUUUUGCUAGUUUUGGACGAUGUGUGGAACAUUAACAAUUAUGAACAAUGGAGCCACUUACAAAUGCCCUUUAAGUCGGGGGCUAGAGGAAGUAAAAUUGUAGUAACAACACGUCACGCAAAUGUUGCAUCAUUGAUGAGAGUAGACAACUACCACCAUUUGCUCAAUCCUUUAUCCAAUGAUGAUUGUUGGAAUGUAUUUGUGAAACAUGCAUUUGAAAAUAAAAAUAUCAAUGAACAUCCAAAUUUGAGAUUAAUUUAUACAAGAAUCGUUGAGAAAUGCAAUGGCUUGCCCUUAGCAACAAAGGUGCUUGGUGGGCUUCUGCACUCCAAACCACAAGAUCUAUGGAACAUGUAUUGAGUAGCAAAAUUUGGAAUAGGAGUGGUGUUAUCCCAAUGCUAAGAUUAAGCUAUCAACAUCUCCCUUCACAUCUAAAAAAAUGUUUUGCUUAUUGUGCAUUAUUUCCAAUAUACUAUGAAUUUCAGCAAAAAGAGCUAAUUUUAUUGUGGAUGGCAGAUGGUUUAAUUCACCAUGCAGAAGAAGAUAACCAUCAAAUGGAAGAUUUAAGUGCUGAUUAUUUCAAUGAAUUGUUAUCAAGAUGUUUUUUCCAACCACCAAGUAAUAGUAAAUUAUGAUUUAUUAUGCAUGACUUGAUAAAUGAUUUAGCUCAAAAUGUUGCUACAGAAAUAUGUUUUAAUUUAGAGAAUAUACAUAAAAUCUCUAAAAAAACUCAUCAUUUUUCAUCCAUGCGUAAUGAGUAUGAUGUGUUCAAAAAAUUUCAAAUCUUUAAUAAAUCGGAGCAAUUACGAACAUUUGUUGCAUUACCCAUCACCAUAGAUGAUAAGAAGAAAUGUUACUUAAGUACUAAGGUGCUUCAUGGCUUGUUGCCAAAGUUGAUACAUUUGAGAGUGCUCUCUUUGAGUGGUUAUGAAAUAAAUGAGUUACCAGAUUCAAUUCGUGAUUUGAAACAUUUAAGAUAUCUUAAUUUGUCUCACACUAAACUUAAAUGGUUACCUGAACCAAUGAGUGGUCUUUACAAUUUACAAUCGUUAAUAUUAUGCAAUUGUAUGGAACUCAAUAAGUUGCCUAUGGGCAUCACAAAUUUAAUCAAUAUUCGACAUCUUGAUAUUAGUGGUUCAAUUAUGUUGGAAGAGAUGCCUCCACAAGUUGGCAACUUGAUAAAUUUGCGAACUUUGUCUAGGUUUUUUCUAAGUAAAGGUAAUGGGUCACAAAUAAAAGAAUUGAAAAACUUGUUGAAUCUCCUAGGAGAGCCUGCCAUUUUAGGGUUGGAGAAUGUUUUGGAUCCAAGAGAUGUGGUGUAUGUCAAUUUGAAGGAGAGACCAAAUAUUGAAGACUUAAUUAUGGUAUGGAGUGAAGAUUCUGGUAAAAAAAUACUGAGAUAGAGGUCCUUAAGUGGUUGCAACCUCAUCAAAGUUUGAAAAAACUGGAUAUUAGAUUUUAUGGUGGCUCAAAAUUCCCGCAUUGGAUAGGAGAUCCAUCCUUCUCCAAAAUGGUUUAUUUGGAACUCACAAAUUGUAAAAAUUGCACAUCAUUGCCAACACUUGGGGGUUUACCUUUCCUCAAAUACUUGGUGAUUGAAGGAAUGAAUCAAGUUAAAAGCAUAGGUGAUGGGUUCUAUGGGGUUACUGCGCACCCUUUUCGGUCUUUGGAAUCUCGAAGAUUUGAGAAUAUGCCAGAAUGGAACAAUUGGUUAAUUCCCAAAUUGGGCCAUGAGGAAACUGAAGCAUUGUUUCUUUGCCUUCGUGAGCUUAGAAUCAUAAAAUGUCCAAAACUGAUCAACUUACCUGAUGAGUUACCUUCCCUCGUGACGAUUCAUGUCAAAGAAUGGCAAGAACUGGAAAUGUCAAUUCCACGACUUCCACUUCUUACUCAAUUAGUAGUAGUUGGUUCAUUAGAAAGUUGGGAUGGUGAUGUCCCCUCACUUACCCGAUUAUACAUUUGGGAAAUUUCAAGGCUGAGUUGUUUAUGGGAAAGGCUUGCACAACCCUUAAUGGUCCUUGAAGAUCUGGGAAUACAUGAAUGUGAUGAGCUGGCAUGUUUGAGGAAACCUGGAUUUGGACUGGAAAACCUUGGUGGUCUGCGACGUUUAUGGAUCAAUGGGUGUGAUGGGGUUGUAUCGUUGGAAGAGCAAGGGCUGCCUUGCAAUCUUCAAUACUUGGAAGUGAA
rnacentral:lncRNA from 1 species